rnacentral:rRNA from 1 species
AUUGAACGCUGGCGGCAGGCCUAACACAUGCAAGUCGAGCGGAGCGGCGGACGGGUGAGUAAUGCCUAGGAAUCUGCCUGGUAGUGGGGGAUAACGUCCGGAAACGGGCGCUAAUACCGCAUACUAUCAGAUGAGCCUAGGUCGGAUUAGUUAGUUGGUGGGGUAAAGUCCUACAAGGGCGACGAUCCGUAACUGGUCUGAGAGGAUUAUCAGUCAAACUGGAACUGCGACACGGGCAAGACUCCGAGGGGAGGCGGCAGGGGGGAUUAUUGGACAAGGGGAGAAAGCCUGAUCCGGCCAUGCCGCGUGUGUGAAGAGGGUCUGCGGAUUGUAAGGCACUUUAAUUUGGGAGGCGUUACCAACAGAAUAAGCACCGGCUAACUACGUGCCAGCCGCCGCGGUAAUAC